UACGUAGGUGACAAGCGUUGUCCGGAUUUAUUGGGCGUAAAGAGCUCGUAGGCGGCUUGUCGCGUCGACUGUGAAAACCCGCGGCUCAACCGUGUGGCUUGCAGUUGAUACGGGCAGGCUAGAGUUCGGUAGGGGAGACUGGAAUUCCUGGUGUAGCGGUGAAAUGCGCAGAUAUCAGGAGGAACACCGGUGGCGAAGGCGGGUCUCUGGGCCGAUACUGACGCUGAGGAGCGAAAGCGUGGGGAGCAAACGGG
rnacentral:rRNA from 1 species